rnacentral:rRNA from 1 species
CCCUUAGAUGUUCUGGGCCGCACGCGCGCUACACUGAUGCAUUCAACGAGUCUAAAACCUGGUCUGAUAGGGCUGGGUAAUCUUUUGAAUGUGCAUCGUGAUUGGGAUAGAUGAUUGCAAUUCUUCAUCUUCAACGAGGAAUGCCUAGUAAACGCAAGUCAUCAGCUUGCAUUGAUUACGUCCCUGCCCUUUGUACACACCGCCCGUCGCUCCUACCGAUUGAAUGUUCCGAUGAAUACCAUGGACUGAGAGUAUGAAUGGGUUCGCCUAUUUCUGCUUCUCGGGAAGUGGAGUAAAUCUUAUCAUUUAGAGGAAGGAGAAGUCGUAACA